CGUGACGUAAGCAUGGGCGCGUUUGUUUGUAAAACUGAACAGCUCGUAUAAUCGUUAAUAAGAAGAUGUUCCGUUGCGUACCCUUCAGUCGUGGAACGGAAAACCGCUGGUGCUGAUGGGAGAGGGCAGGAGUCUGUGCCAGUCCCCCCCUGACAGCGCAGAGAGGCUGUAAUUAUCCUGUCUACUACCUGUGGUCUGCGGUAUCUGGAAUGAACUGCCUCUGCAGUGGGGGACUAGGAGCCCUGCGUCCUGUGAUAGGGGUGGGAAGCGUAAGCCCUCCUCAGCGUCUCUCCAGGCGAGGAACGGGAAGAGUUGAGGCGCGGUGGAGGAGAC